rnacentral:rRNA from 1 species
CGCGCAGGCUGUCCUCCAAGUCAGUGGUGAAAGCCCGGAGCUCAACUCCGGAAUUGCCAUUGAAACUGUUGGACUGGAGUACGAGAGAGGUGAGUGGAAUUCCCAGUGUAGAGGUGAAAUUCGUAGAUAUUGGGAAGAACACCGGUGGCGAAGGCGGCUCACUGGCUCGUAACUGACGCUCAGGCGCGAUAGCGUGGGGAUCAAACAGGAUUAGAUACCCUGGUAGUCCACGCCGUAAACGAUGAAUGCUAGCCGUUGGAUAGCUUGCUAUUCAGUGGCGCAGCUAACGCAUUAAGCAUUCCGCCUGGGGAGUACGGCCGCAAGGUUGAA